rnacentral:rRNA from 1 species
UACGGGGGGGGCAAGCGUUGUUCGGAAUUACUGGGCGUAAAGGGCUCGUAGGCGGCCAACUAAGUCAUACGUGAAAUCCCUCGGCUUAACCGGGGAACUGCGUCUGAUACUGGAUGGCUUGAGUUCGGGAGAGGGAUGCGGAAUUCCAGGUGUAGCGGUGAAAUUCGUAGAUAUUAGGAAGAACACCAGUGGCGAAGGCGGCUCACUGGCCCGGUACUGACGCUGAGGCGCGAAAGCGUGGGGAGCAAACAGG